AGAAGUGAGACACCAGGACCAAAGUGUGGCGAGCAAAGCGAGCCCGCCAGGGUACAAUGCAGCAUAAAUUAAACCAAACACUCUACAACAAAUGGAGAUUGGAGAAUACAUAAACAUGCUGUAAGGGCAGAAGAGAAUUUACGCCCUCACGUCCUUUUCACGAAGGGAAAAUAGACACAACCGGCCAGCUCCUCUCAGGCAGUUCCCAUGGGCCUUGAGAGCUGGCCAGGUGAGGAAGUGACUCUGCAGCAGGUGACUACGCCUUGCAGCUUCCCCUACGUUAUAGGCUUUUUAACUUCAUUAUGUGAUCAGGCAUGUUGCCAACUUUGAAGGCCAUUCCACACAUCUGAGUGAUCUGGCUUGCCGUCCAGGUGAUUUAAGUGCCAAUCUUGAUAAAGGUCCGCAUAAGGACCGAAACGUCGAUGAAAUACGGCAUCAACAGUGAACCCGAAUAAAAAUAUACUGAAUUUACAA